GAUGAACGCUGGCGGCGUGCCUAAUACAUGCAAGUCGAGCGAAUGGAUUAAGAGCUUGCUCUUAUGAAGUUAGCGGCGGACGGGUGAGUAACACGUGGGUAACCUGCCCAUAAGACUGGGAUAACUCCGGGAAGCCGGGGCUAAUACCGGACAACAUUUUGAACCGCAUGGUUCGAAACUGAAAGGCGGCUUCGGCUGUCACUUAUGGAUGGACCCGCGUCGCAUUAGCUAGUUGGUGAUGUAACGGCUCACCAAGGCAACGAUGCGUAGCCGACCUGAGAGGGUGAUCGGCCACACUGGGACUGAGGCACGGCCCAGACUCCUACGGGAGGCAGCAGUAGGGAAUCUUCCGCAAUGGACGAAAGUCUGACGGAGCAACGCCGCGUGAGUGAUGAAGGCUUUCGGGUCGUAAAACUCUGUUGUUAGGGAAGAACAAGUGCUAGUUGAAUAAGCUGGCACCUUGACGGUACCUAACCAGAAAGCCACGGCUAACUACGUGCCAGCAGCCGCGGUAA
rnacentral:rRNA from 1 species